rnacentral:misc_RNA from 1 species
UGCUUCUUGGUGGUUCUGCUGUUGUAAAUGCACUUACUGGAGUGAAUAUUUACGCAGCUAGCUUUCUAAUUCCACUCGGAGUAAUUGUCUAUACUCUAGCUGGAGGGCUAAAAGCAACNUUAUAUACAUUCUGUUAUAGUGCAUGCGGUUCUAGUCAUUUUUGUGUACCUAGUUUACACAGCAAGCAGUGAGCUGGGAAGUCCCAGUCUUAUAUAUAACCGUCUGGCGGAG